rnacentral:rRNA from 1 species
GACGAACGCUGGCGGCGUGCUUAACACAUGCAAGUCGAACGGAAAGGCCCUGCUUUUGUGGGGUGCUCGAGUGGCGAACGGGUGAGUAACACGUGAGUAACCUGCCCUUGACUUUGGGAUAACUUCAGGAAACUGGGGCUAAUACCGGAUAGGAGCUCCUGCUGCAUGGUGGGGGUUGGAAAGUUUCGGCGGUUGGGGAUGGACUCGCGGCUUAUCAGCUUGUUGGUGGGGUAGUGGCUUACCAAGGCUUUGACGGGUAGCCGGCCUGAGAGGGUGACCGGACACAUUGGGACUGCGAUACGGACCAGACUCCUACGGGAGGCAGCAGUGGGGAAUAUUGCACAAUGGGCGGAAGCCUGAUGCAGCAACGCCGCGUGCGGGAUGACGGCCUUCGGGUUGUAAACCGCUUUCGCCUGUGACGAAGCGUGAGUGACGGUAAUGGGUAAAGAAGCACCGGCUAACUACGUG